GGCACCAGGACAUUGGUUCUAUUGCUGAACAAACACUAAAUAUUCCAGCGGACACCUUGCCAGAAAGGACUGAAAAGGGCUUAGAAAUCCUUAAAAACGAUUGCAAAGGACUAAAAAGCAAAGACAAGAGUAAAACCUGUUUUCCYCAUGGUCUUGUUUGCCCUUCCAUGGACUGAUGAGCUCUGAGCUAUCACGUCAUCAUCAAAAUAUUCACUCUUGUUUUACACGUUUUUCUCUGAUUUGUUAUUUGUAGCUUUUCCCCCAAUGAAWCAAGCAGAGGAAAAGCAGGACUGGGAUAAAUCUCUCUCCCUUUGCUCCCUCCCUGAGCUGGAGGAUUCCUGCAGCGCAUCCAUAUCAGCAGCUCCCCAAGGUUUUGCUCCUGGGCCUUGAGCAGAGCUCCGGGUGCAGGAAUUAGUUGCAAAGGAGCCACAUUUGCAGCCUGGGAGCUCCUGUGCAAGACGCAAUCCAUCGGUAUCAUAAAAGGAGAUGCUCAUUUGCCUCGAGGAGCUGCUGGCCUGAGUUAACCAGGACGAGCGAGACCGGGGCACAGCGGGUAUUUAUGUUAUAACACUGCUCCUCUUGUCUCCAGACAUUCCCAUGAUGUCACUUGGCCAAUUUGGGCCGCUUUCUGCUGAAAAGCAACACUAACAAUAAUACUGCAGUACUACAAAGUGAUAAUUCUGAAAUCUAUCUGUAUUAGAUCAUAUGGCUCUUUAAAUAAAUUGUUUAUGACUGUGUUAACCCAACCUUGUCAAUACAUGCACACAUAAGUAUAUUAAAAACRUAAAUGUUUCCAG